rnacentral:tRNA from 1 species
AUAUAUUUAUUUAAAUAAUAAUAUUAAAUUGCAAAUUUAAAGUUAAUUAAAAUAUUAGUAUAUA